AAGGGUUUAUGACCAGACUUUGGCCUUGCGGAUCAUCCGGUGUUCUCACUGGUGCACUUCGCUUGGUUGAGGCCAGCAUCGAUUUUUGUAGGGGGAUAAAGACUUUAGGGAUGUGACUCCUCCGGGAGUGUUAUAACCUACUGUGUAAUACCCUUACGGGGAUCGAGGUCCGCGCUUCGGCUAGGAUGCUGGCAUAAUGGUCAUCAGC
rnacentral:rRNA from 1 species